AGCCUUUUGAAUCUGUGCUGAGAUUUGGUCAAACUCCACCCAUUAGAGCCGAUCAGACCUCCAAGAUAAGUGAAGUU
rnacentral:pre_miRNA from 1 species